rnacentral:lncRNA from 1 species
GUCCCAAUACUUUUGAUAGAAAAUUUCAUGUUCACAUAAGAAUUAGGCACCCUCAUUCUUGAUGCAAACAUUACAACAACGUAUGCUAAAGCACAAAAAAAAAGCUGCUAAAAUUCAUGAAAUUGUCUUUAAAUAUUUAUAGCCACCAUGGUUAAAAUUUUAGCAAUAAUUAAUAUUUGUAUUUAUAUAUUUAAAAAAACUAUAGAGGCAAAAAAAAGUUAGUCUUUGUAAAUAGAUACUUUUAAAAGUUUUUUUUUU